AUACGGAGGGUGCGAGCGUUGUUCGGAAUUAUUGGGCGUAAAGAGCAUGUAGGCGGUCUGUUAAGUCUGGUGUGAAAGCCCGGGGCUCAACCCCGGAAGUGCAUUGGAUACUGGCAGACUUGAGUAUGGGAGAGGAAAGCGGAAUUCCGAGUGUAGGAGUGAAAUCCGUAGAUAUUCGGAGGAUCACCAGUGGCGAAGGCGGCUUUCUGGACCAAUACUGACGCUGAGAUGCGAAAGCGUGGGGAGCAAACAGGAUUAGAUACCCCAGUAGUCC
rnacentral:rRNA from 1 species